AUUGAACGCUGGCGGCAUGCCUUACACAUGCAAGUCGAACGGUAACAGGUCUUCGGAUGCUGACGAGUGGCGAACGGGUGAGUAAUACAUCGGAGCGUGCCUAGUGGUGGGGGAUAACUACUCGAAAGAGUGGCUAAUACCGCAUGCGAUCUACGGAUGAAAGCAGGGGAUCGCAAGAACUGGUGCGACUAGAGCGGCCGAUGGCAGAUUAGGUAGGUGGUGGGAUAAAAGCUUACCAAGACGACGAUCUGUAGCUGGUCUGAGAGGACGAUCAGCCACACUGGGACUGAGACACGGCCCAGACUCCUACGGGAGGCAGCAGUGGGGAAUUUUGGACAAUGGGCGCAAGCCUGAUCCAGCAAUGCCGCGUGCAGGAUGAAGGCCUUCGGGUUGUAAACUGCUUUUGUACGGAACGAAAAGCCCUGGGUUAAUACCCUGGGGUCAUGACGGUACCGUAAGAAUAAGCACCGGCUAACUACGUGCCAGCCGCCGCAGUAAAAC
rnacentral:rRNA from 1 species